rnacentral:rRNA from 1 species
UACGUAGGGUGCGAGCGUUGUCCGGAAUUACUGGGCGUAAAGAGCUCGUAGGUGGUUUGUCGCGUUGUUCGUGAAAACUCACAGCUCAACUGUGGGCGUGCGGGCGAUACGGGCAGACUUGAGUACUGCAGGGGAGACUGGAAUUCCUGGUGUAGCGGUGGAUGCGCAGAUAUCAGGAGGAACACCGGUGGCGAAGGCGGGUCUCUGGGCAGUAACUGACACUGAGGAGCGAAAGCGUGGGGAGCGAACAGG